AUUGAACGCUGGCGGCAGGCCUAACACAUGCAAGUCGAACGAGUGGCGGACGGGUGAGUAAUGUAUGGGAAACUGCCCGAUGGAGGGGGAUAACUACUGGAAACGGUGGCUAAUACCGCAUACCAUCGGAGGUGCCCAGAUGGGAUUAGCUAGUAGGUGGGGUAACGGCUCACCCAGGCGACGAUCCCUAGCUGGUCUGAGAGGAUGACCAGCCCAACUGGAACUGAGACACGGUCCAGACUCCUACGGGAGGCAGCAGUGGGGAAUUUUGCACAAUGGGGGCAAGCCUGAUGCAGCCAUUCCGCGUGUAUGAUGAAGGCCUUCGGGUUGUAAAGUACUUUUAGCAGAGAGGCGUUACCUGCAGAAGAAGCACCGGCUAACUCCGUGCCAGCCGCCGCGGUAAUUC
rnacentral:rRNA from 1 species